UGCGUAGGCGGGCCCGUAAGUCAGUGGUGAAAGUUUGCGGCUCAACCGUAAAAUUGCCAUUGAAACUAUGGGUCUUGAGUGUAAAUAAGGUAGGCGGAAUGUGUUGUGUAGCGGUGAAAUGCCUAGAUAUAACACAGAACACCAAUUGCGAAGGCAGCUUACUGGGAUACAACUGACGCUGAGGCACGAAAGCGUGGGGAUCAAACAGGAUUAGAUACCCUGGUAGUCC
rnacentral:rRNA from 1 species